UUCUUAUUAAAUGAUAAUUAUCAUAUGUCAUGUUCUGAAUUGGAUUUCGAAUCCAUGGAAGAUGAAAUCUUAUUGUCAUUGACGAAUCAAAAUAUGAUAAGUAACCGUUAAUAAUU
rfam:Glycine soja cultivar W05 scaffold5313_3, whole genome shotgun sequence.